rnacentral:rRNA from 1 species
AUUGAACGCUGGCGGCAGGCCUAACACACGCAAGUCGAGCGGAUGACGGGAGCUUGCUCCUUGAUUCAGCGGCGGACGGGUGAGUAAUGCCUAGGAAUCUGCCUGGUAGUGGGGGACAACGUUUCGAAAGGAACGCUAAUACCGCAUACGUCCUACGGGAGAAAGCAGGGGACCUUCGGGCCUUGCGCUAUCAGAUGAGCCUAGGCCGGAUUAGCUAGUAGGUGAGGUAAUGGCUCACCUAGGCGACGAUCCGUAACUGGUCUGAGAGGAUGAUCAGUCACACUGGAACUGAGACACGGUCCAGACUCCUACGGGAGGCAGCAGUGGGGAAUAUUGGACAAUGGGCGAAAGCCUGAUCCAGCCAUGCCGCGUGUGUGAAGAAGGUCUUCGGAUUGUAAAGCACUUUAAGUUGGGAGGAAGGGCAGUAAGCUAAUACCUUGCUGUUUUGACGUUACCGACAGAAUAAGCACCGGCUAACUCUGUGCCAGCAGCCGCGGUAACAC